rnacentral:misc_RNA from 1 species
AAAAACAAAAGAAGAGGGUCUCGGUUGCUUUAGUCUGGUGCUUUUAAUUCUAUUAAGUAACGUCCUUUUAGUUUUGUUUGCUAUUGAGAAGUGGAUUAUUGAGUCUUUGGAGAUCUGGAUCUUAGAGCUGGUUUAAAGGCGUGUUUUUGUUAAAAUGGGAAAUCUGAGUCAUGGUUUUGUUUGACUUGAAACAGUGCUAUCACAAUCUGAGUUUGGAUCAGAAGCUAAGUUCAUAUAAUGGUUAGCUUUUCAUAAUUGAGCUGCGUAAGCUAUAAAUGCAAGAAAUAGAUGGAAUUAAGUAAAUUUUGGAUGAUUAUUUUUGUCAAUUUAGGUACAUAUUGAGUUGCAUUUCCGUUAACAUCCCACUUUUGGUAUCUUUUAAACAUGGCUUUUCUUUUCUUUUUGGGAAAUCUCUUGAACAAUCAGCCAGGUCCAUCAUCAGUCACUUCUGAAACUUUCCUUUUUCUUUUUUUUUUCCCCUUUCAUUUAUAUGGAAAGUCAAAUUGACUGGACAAACACAUACUUCUGAAAAUUCACAGGUUUUAUUACAGACAAUAACUGCUAAGGAAUUUCUGUUUAGCUUUGCGCCAAUGCUAUUUCUCAUUUCUGUUCUUCGAAAAUUGGUAUUUUUAAUAAUUAAGUCGCCUGCUUUCCUCGGGGGUUGAAUCUUUCAUGUUUAGUUAAUAAUUUGCCAAUUAGGAUCAGAUGUGGUUCUGUUUGCUCUGUGUUACUUCUUACUAAUUUCCAGUAUCAGCUAAUUUUAUAGUAGGACCUGUUCAACGCUUCUACAUCAUUUGGAAAUCAUGCCAAGUGAAAAAAAAAAAAAAAUUCCAUACUUUCUUUUAUGCUCACAUUUCAAGUUGCAAAUUUCUGCCUGUAGUUUGAGUUGAGACCCAUUCUAUUAGUAUUAAGCUCAGGCAAUACGUGAAUUGUCAAAAAUGUUUCUCUUGUUUUUGCAACCAUAAAUGAUAUGCAUUAUUGUUGAUGGUAUUACAGUCAUAUGAAGAUAUUAAUCACAUUAAUAGUCACAUUCUGUAUUUUCUGAUCCUUAAUGGAUUAUUCAUGUCCUUUUUUUUGUUAUCUUUCCCGUGUUACUGUAAUGGCUGUCUUGCAAUGAUCAUAAAUAUGGAGCAAUUUCAACUUCUUUAAGUCACUAUCUAUUUUAUACAUUGUAGAAUACCAAAUUCUUCAAUAUCUAAUGUAUUAGCUAUGUUUUUCCUAAAAUACGUGUCUCGGAUAAUAUGUUUGUUGUGACUUUUGGUGCAGGUACAGAUAGG